UACAGAGGGGGCAAGCGUUAUUCGGAAUUAUUGGGCGUAAAGGGCGCGUAGGCGGCCCGCUAAGUCGAACGUGAAAUCCCCGGGCUCAACCCGGGAACUGCGUCCGAUACUGGUGGGCUCGAAUCCGGGAGAGGGAUGCGGAAUUCCAGGUGUAGCGGUGAAAUGCGCAGAUAUCAGGAGGAACACCGGUGGCGAAGGCGGAUCUCUGGGGCCUUACCUGACGCUGAGGCGCGAAAGCUAGGGGAGCGAACAGG
rnacentral:rRNA from 1 species